GACUUGGUAGCCUAGUUGGUAAAGGCAGCACACCUAGUAUAGUUUCUUAGCUUCAAGCUAAGGUUGCUGGUUCAAAUCCUGCCCAAGUCA
rnacentral:tRNA from 1 species